GAAAAGGAGAAUGAAAGAUUAUGUAAAUUGAUAAUUGUAUAAUGUGGUCAGCCUGACUAGAUAUCCUGGGAGAUGGUGGACGGACCGGGUCCGUAGGGAACCCUACCGGGAUGGUGGUCUCUCAUACCGGACGGGGUAUGGAGACCUUAUGUGUUUUGGCGCCCAUACCGGACGGGGUAUGGGGACGGCCCAUUUCACCCUCAUACCGGACGGGGUAAUCAGGUUUAUAGUUUUGGCGCCCAUACCGGACGGGGUAUGGGGACGGCCCUGGAAUCUGGUUUCAAGUGUUAAGGGUUAACGGGUAGCGGGACCCCUAUGGAUCCCCAUGGAUACUAGUAGACUGGUAAAUGAGGAAAAUAUGUUGUGUAAUGAUUGAAUUACAAAAGGCGUGAUAAGUAUUAUGUUAUAUAGUUUAUAUGAUUUCAUGAUAAUGAUAAUGUUAUUACUUUCGUAUAUUGUUUUAUGAAUUUCACCGAGGUGAGUGGAUGGUAAAUGAUUUAUUAUUGGCAAAAGGAUUUGUUGUAAAUUAUGCUCCAUUAGUCUUUUUGUGUUUUCUACCCACCUUUACCUCCGUGACGGUGAGAUAUCGUGAUGUCUUUACUGGGCUAGUGUAGCUCAUUCCUUAUUUAAUCAUUUCAGAUCAUGAAGACAUUGUUCCCGAGCCCGUUCCGCAGGAGGACGACGAAGGGGACGCCUAAAGACUACGUAGCUAUAUUUAUAGUUCUUAUCUCGAUUAUCUCUCUUAGUUAGUUUGUAAUUUCAUGUUUUGAGUACGUUUUAGUUAUUGUGUAAGGGAUGUUAAUCAAAAUUUUGACUUCGCUUUCGCAUUUGAUAUUUUUAAUACACAUUUCAUUUUAAAUUUCCGGGACCGUUACAGUUGGUCUCAGAGCCGCAUUUCCUCGGACCCAUCCCUUACACCAUAGUGCCUUAGAGAAAUACUCACCGAUAUAUCGUUACUCAACCAUUCCUUGUGAAUGCAGGUACACGGGAAUGAAGAGAGGAAGGCCCCCACUAAACCGAGCAGCCCAAGAUAAUUCGCUUCGGGAGGAUUUAGACAGACUAUUUGAGAUAGUGGAAGCUCUCGUAGCUGCCCAGCAAAGGCGAGAGGAGAGAAGGGAGUUACCCGGACCUCCUCCGCUAUCGCAGGUUGAGCCCCCGCUACAGCAGGCUGAUCCCGAGCCACCCCGGCAGGAGCCUGUUCCUCCACAGUACCACCCGGCACCACAGCCGCGGUACGACCCGGUACCACAGCCACGGUACCAGCAGGCGCCGCCACAGCACAUUCCAGUACCCCCACCACAUCAGCAGGUGCCACCACAGGGUCCCCCAGUUCACCCUCAGCCGGCCCCAGUCCCUCUACCUCGGGACCCCGCUCCUUCCUUGAUCGACCCCGGCUUCAUAGAGAGGUACAGAAGACUGAACUCUUUUACUUUUGCAGGGGGAUCCUCUUUUGAAGAGGCCCAAUACUGGCUGGCAGAGACUGAGAGAGCUUUCGAGACCUUGGGAGUAGUUCCUAAGCAGAGGGCUGCCAUUGCCUCCUACAUGCUGGUAGGGGAAGCAGUACGCUGGUGGGAGCUCAAGCGGACCACCCUGCCUACACCAGCUACUUGGGAGCAGUUCCUAGCGGCCUUCCAUGCGGAGUAUCUCCCUAAACACAUCCAACACCUAAAGGAAAUGGAGUUUGCUCAAUUGGUCCAGGGAAACAUGACAGUGUCAGAGUAUGCCCGUAAGUUCCUGGAGCUGGGCCGACAUGCCCCGAAGACAUUGAUGGAUGAGGGCCGAAAAGCUAGGAAAUUCCAGUGGGGUCUCCGCCCGGAGAUCAGACAGCACUUACUGGUGAUGGAGCUCGAGACAUAUUUGGCAGUCCUGGCAAAGGCGCAGAUCAUAGAAAGGAGCUUCGACACCCGCCCUCAGCUAGCGGGAAGUUCCCGACCCUCAGCCCCGCUCCGCAGCCAGCACCUACCAUGCCUGUCCAACCCAGUAGAGCCCAGACCCGCGUCCAGCCCCUCCUCAGGCUACAGGGGCAGCACGUGGGAAGAUCUGUCAGUACUGCGGCAGGGAUCACGGGGACCGACCCUGUUACCGCCUCAACAACACCUGUCGCAUAUGCGGCAGUGCCCAGCACUAUGCAAGGGAAUGCCCUAGGAACCAGAAUCAAAGAAGGCCUCCAAUCCAGGGCAGAGUUUACAACCUUACUCAGAAGGAUGCCGACGCAGACCCGGACGUGGUACAUGGUAUGUAUACUAUCUCUGGCCACAUUGCUCAUGUUUUGUUUGAUACUGGUGCAUCACAUUCUUUUAUUUCACAUGUUCUUGCUUCCAAAAUUUGUGUAUCACCUGAUAGACUUGAUUCAUUAUUGCUUGUAUUUACCGUUGGGGGGGAGACAUUGCUAGGAGAGGUUGUCUACAGGGCAUGUGCCGUGGAGAUAGCAGAUAGAAAAUUGAGAGUAGACCUGAUAGGGUUAGACACGGGGGAUUUUGAUGUAAUCAUAGGAAUGUAUUGGCUAGCGGCGUAUCACGCCACCAUAGACUGCUUUAACAAAAAGAUUGUAUUUAAUCCUCCCAACGAGGAGCCAUUUACAAGUUAAUAAAAUUAUUCAGUACUGAUUUCCCCUAAUGGCAAGUUUUGUUAAUUCCUAGUGCCUCAAUCUUGUAUUUUCUCUAACUAGGUAAACCCAAGAAAGAAGUUUGUAUCCAAGAGAUUCCAGUAGUCUGAGACUUUCCAGACGUAUUUCCGGAUGAACUGCCCGGUCUACCAGCGGACAGAGAGGUCGAGUUCACCAUAGACUUACAGCCAGGUACCCAGCCCAUCUCGGUAGCUCCUUACCGAAUGAGCCGCAUCGAGAUGGAAGAACUAAAGAAACAGAUCACUGAGCUACAAGACAGUGGUUUCAUUAGACACAGCGUUUCCCCAUGGGGUGCCGGGGUUACUUUUGCAAGGAAGGGAGAUGGAACGUUGAGACUGUGCAUUGAUUAUAGAAGGAUAAACAAGGUAACAAUUAAGAACAAAUAUCCUCUUCCCCGGAUUGAUGACCUUUUCGAUCAGUUGUAGGGUGCACAAGUCUUUUCUAAAAUAGAUCUACGAUCAGGUUACCAUCAGGUAAAGGUAAGAGCAGAAGACAUCCCCAAGACGGCAUUCCGAACCAGGUACGGACACUAUGAGUUCCUGGUUAUGCCGUUUGGGCUAACCAGCGCCCCGGCCAUCUUUAUGGAUCUAAUGAACAGGAUCUUCAGAGAGUUCUUGGAUCAAUUUAUCAUCGUGUUCAUCGAUGAUAUCUUAGUCUACUCAAAAAGUAGAGAAGAACAUGUUCAUCAUCUUGCCCAAGUCCUACAGGUACUCAGAGAAAAGAAGUUGUAUGCAAAGUUGAGCAAGUGUGGAUUUUGGCUCGAGCAAACCGCCUUCCUAGGACAUGUUAUAUCGAAGGAAGGGGUGUCGGUGAACCCCGAAAAGGUUAAAACGGUACUUGGUUGGGAAAGACUUACAACAGUUAAGGAAAUUCGCAGUUUCCUAGGGAUGACAGGUUAUUACCACCGGUUUGUCGAAGAGUUUUCUAGUCUAGCAGCUCCUCUAACCCAACUCACAAAGAAGAAUGCAAAGUUUGAAUGGAAUGAGAACUGCGAAAGGAGUUUUUCAGAAUUGAAGAAGCGACUGACUACAUUACCCGUGCUGGCUCUACCGAGUGGAUCAGGAGGGUAUACAGUUUACAGUGAUGCCUCCUAUCUGGGCCUGGGUUGUGUCCUGAUGCAGCAUGGAAAGGUUAUAGCAUAUGGGUCUAGACAGCUAAAGAAUCAUGAGAAGAACUAUCCUACCCAUGACUUGGAGCUUGCCGCAAUCAUACACGCCUUGAAAACUUGGCGCCAUUAUUUGUAUAGAGAGACCUUUCAGAUCUACACUGAUCAUAAGAGUUUGAAGCACAUCUUCACUCAGAAGGAUCUCAACAUGCGUCAGAGAAGGUGGAUUGAACUCCUCAAGGACUAUGAUUGUGACAUCCUAUACCAUCCAGGUAAGGGCAACGUAGUAGCCGAUGCCCUCAGCAGGAAAAGUGCAGGCACCUUAGCCCAUUUAAUGGUUUCAGAAUGCAGGUCCAUUGGGGCCACGCAGCAGGUCCGACUGCGAGAUCUGAAGAGGGCCACAUGUUUGGGCCACCUAGCAGUCCAACCCGAGUUAGUCCAAAGAAUAAAGGAAGCCCAGUCAGUCGACUCCGCCCUAGUAACCCGCAAGAAGGAUGCAGAACAGGUAGUGAGCUCAGAAUUUCAGAUCUCUGUCGACGGAUUGAUUCGUUUCAAGGACAGAGUGUGUGUCCCAGACGACAGUGAGUUAAAAAGAGACAUCAUGAUGGAGUCUCAUAGUUCAAGGUUUGCCAUGCAUCCAGAAAGUACAAAAAUGUACCAAACGUGGGCAUCUUUGUAAUUUUCUCAUUAAUUAUUUAUUUAGCUUAUAAAAAAAAAAAGAGAAGCAGCGUGGUGGCGCAGGGAACAGGAGAAGAAGAAGGAAGCAAAGACGUGCAAGUCGCGAGCGGGAAGAGAUGGGUUUUCGUGAUUUUUGGAGAAUCUUCAGUGCGGGGAUACUGAUCUAAAUAGCUUCGCUCCACUAUAAAGAGCGAAACUCGAAACAGAGAAAGGAGGAAUCCCUGAGGCCAAAGGGGCGUAGAGAGAGGGAGGAGGCCGAGAAGAGAGAGCUCAUCUUCUCCAUGAAUUCUUCGCAAAAUACUCAGAAAAAUCCCCUCAAAUUGUUCUUCUCAUUCUUUAUUUUCCUUCUACUCGCAGAACCAAUUACUGGCCUCUACUAUUUGACAUAAGCACAAAUAUCACCCAUAUAUGUAUUUUCUUCAGCGCGACUCCAAGCAGCUCAGGCCAUCUCUGUCACAGAAGAAGCCCUCUCUCUGCUGUCCUUAAUUUCCGAGCGGCAAUCAUAUACAUUGCAGCUUAUCAUCACCGAGACCCAACCUUCAUCGCACAGUUGAUCGGAGCCGAAUCACCAAAACACGAACCUCACAAGAGAGCCGCCGCACCCGAGAGCACCGCCGCCGGUACCAGUAGUGCGUUUCAGUUCCCUGGGAAAAAUUCAGGGAAAAUUAGGGACAGCCUGUAGGCGCACUGUGAAGCCGUGUUCGGACCCCGAAACGAGUAAGGACCCCUCACCCUAUUUCCUAUCACGGUAUUAAAGUUCAGAAAUGAUAAAACGGUAUUUCUUGAAUCAACGAAUGUGUGAAAUUGCUUAAGGUCGCUAAUGGAGCCCGAGUCUAGUGUGUUGACGGUUAACUAUUAUUUGACAUAUUUUACAGUUUUAAAUGCAGUAUGAGGUCUGAUGUUUUUAUUUCAUUGUUUCGCGUGCAUAUUUUACUGUUUUAUUGAUUAUGGGUUGAAUGACUGAGAAACCGAUGCUGUAUGUUGUCUUGUUUGGCAUAAAUUACUGUUUGCUUGUUUGUAUGUAAAUUGAUGAUGCUGACUAAAGAAAAGGAGAAUGAAAGAUUAUGUAAAUUGAUAAUUGUAUAAUGUGGUCAGCCUGACUAGAUAUCCUGGGAGAUGGUGGACGGACCGGGUCCGUAGGGAACCCUACCGGGAUGGUGGUCUCUCAUACCGGACGGGGUAUGGAGACCUUAUGUGUUUUGGCGCCCAUACCGGACGGGGUAUGGGGACGGCCCGUUUCACCCUCAUACCGGACGGAGUAAUGAGGUUUAUAGUUUUGGCGCCCAUACCG
rnacentral:lncRNA from 1 species